rnacentral:rRNA from 1 species
CCUACGGGUGGCAGCAGUGAGGAAUAUUGGUCAAUGGACGAGAGUCUGAACCAGCCACGUCGCGUGAAGGAUGACUGCCCUAUGGGUUGUAAACUUCUUUUAUAUGGGAAUAAAAUGUUCCUCGUGUUGGCUUUUGUAUGUACCAUAUGAAUAAGGAUCGGCUAACUCCGUGCCAGCAGCCGCGGUCAUACGGAGGAUCCGAGCGUUGUCCGGAGUUAUUGGGUUGAAAGGGAGCAUAGGUGGAUUGUUAAGUCAGUGGUGAAAGAUUGCGGCUCAACCGUAAAAUUGCAGUUGAAACUGGCAGGCUUGAGUACAGUAGAGGUGGGCGGAAGUCGUUGUGUAGUGGUGAAAUGCUUAGAUAUCACGAAGAACUCCGAUUGCGAAGGCAGCUCACUGGACUGCAACUGACACUGAGGCUCGAAAGUGUGGGUAUCAAACAGGAUUAGAUACCCUGGUAGUC